AAAAAGUGCAGCUAAUAUGGCUGUGUCUUGUGCACUUAGCAUGAACGUUGGAGUUUUACCAAGAGAACUUCUUUCACCUUUUCCACAAUCUCUCACUUCAACCUCAUUGAAAAGAAGGAGAACUCAUUUCACAGUUUCAGCAAAAUUAGGAGGAGGAGAGGGUGAUGUAAAGAAAGAUGAGAAGAAGAAAUUCAUUACUAAAGAACAAGAACCUGAACAGUAUUGGCAAUCAGCAGGAGAAAAAGCAGGGGAGAACCCUAUGAUGACACCACUUCCCUAUAUAAUCAUAUUUGGAAUGUCAACACCUUUUGUGAUCUUGGCAAUUGCUUUUGCAAACGGUUGGAUAAAGGUUCCAAUAAGAUGAUUAAAUUCUCAAAUGAAACAAGAAGCUUUUUGGAUGUCUCAUUCUGACCUUUUGUCUACAUUUGAGUUUUCUAAUGUAUAAGAGUAAUCUCAUUUCUAUACACA
rnacentral:misc_RNA from 1 species